rnacentral:rRNA from 1 species
CAUUAAGCCGCAUAGCUUAGUGAUGAAAGGAGACGCCUGCGGAGAGCCUUGCGUCCUAUUAGCUAGUUGGUGGGGUAACGGCCCACCAAGGCGAUGAUAGGUAGCCGGCCUGAGAGGGUGGACGGCCACAAGGGGACUGAGAUACGGCCCUUACUCCUACGGGAGGCAGCAGUGGGGAAUAUUGGACAAUGGAGGAAACUCUGAUCCAGCAAUUCUGUGUGUGUGAAGAAGGUCUUCGGAUUGUAAAACACUUUUAGUUGGGAAGAAACAAAUGACGGUACCAACAGAAGAAGCGACGGCUAAAUACGUGCCAGCAGCCGCGGUAAUACGUAUGUCGCAAGCGUUAUCCGGAAUUAUUGGGCUUAAAGGGCAUCUAGGCGGUAUAACAAGUUGAAGGUGAAAAGCUGUAGCUCAACUAUAGUCUUGCCUACAAAACUGUAAUACUAGAGUACUGGAAAGGUGGGUGGAACUACACGAGUAGAGGUGAAAUUCGUAGAUAUGUGUAGGAAUGCCGAUGAUGAAGAUAACUCACUGGACAGAAACUGACGCUGAAGUGCGAAAGCUAGGGGAGCAAACAGGAUUAGAUACCCUGGUAGUCCUAGCUGUAAACGAUGAUUACUGGGUGUGGGGAUGAGAAGUCUCUGUGCCGAAGCAAAAGCGAUAAGUAAUCCGCCUGGGGAGUACGUUCGCAAGAAUGAAACUCAAAGGAAUUGACGGGGGCCCGCACAAGUGGUGGAGCAUGUGGUUUAAUUCGACGCAACGCGAGGAACCUUACCAGCGUUUGACAUCUUAGGAAUGAGAUAGAGAUAUUUCAGUGUCCCUUCGGGGAAACCUAAAGACAGGUGGUGCAUGGCUGUCGUCAGCUCGUGUCGUGAGAUGUUGGGUUAAGUCCCGCAACGAGCGAAACCCCUAUCAUUAGUUGCCAUCAUUAAGUUGGGGACUCUAAUGAAACUGCCUGCGAAGAGCAGGAGGAAGGUGGGGAUGACGUCAAGUCAUCAUGCCCCUUAUGGUCUGGGCUACACACGUGCUACAAUGGGUAGUACAACGAGAAGCGAUAUGGCGACAUAAAGCAAACCUUAAAAACUACUCUAAGUUCGGAUUGAAGUCUGCAACUCGACUUCAUGAAGUUGGAAUCACUAGUAAUCGCAAAUCAGCAAUGUUGCGGUGAAUACGUUCUCGGGCCUUGUACACACCGCCCGUCACACCACGAGAGUUGUUUGCACCUGAAAUUACUGGCCUAACCGUAAGGAGGGAGGUAAUGAAGGUGUGAAUAGUGAUUGGGGUGAAGUCGUAACAAGGUAUCCGUACCGGAAGGUGCGGAUG